rnacentral:rRNA from 1 species
UACAGAGGUCCCAAGCGUUGUUCGGAUUCAUUGGGCGUAAAGGGUGCGUAGGCGGCGCGGUAAGUCGGGUGUGAAAUCUCGGGGCUUAACUCCGAAACUGCAUUCGAUACUGCCGUGCUUGAGGACUGGAGAGGAGACUGGAAUUUACGGUGUAGCGGUGAAAUGCGUAGAUAUCGUAAGGAAGACCAGUGGCGAAGGCGGAUCUCUGGACAGUUCCUGACGCUGAGGCGCGAAGGCCAGGGGAGCAAACGGG